AUAUAGUUUGAAAACAUGGCCUACUAAUUAUAAUGUUUGAAAAUCAGGAUUAAUUUCCAUUUUUCUCUGACCCAGUUAGUUCAUUUUUCUCGUACAGCUCAAAAAAGAAUUGCGCGCUUGUUCAGUCUCAAAGAUCAAGCAAGUUAACCAAAAGGGCAUUCUUGCAUGUCUAGAUGGGUAUAUGAAUAUAGCAAUGGAGCAAACAGAAGAGUACGUCAAUGGGCAGUUGAAAAAUAAGUAUGGUGAUGCCUUCAUUCUCGGAAACAAUGGUACUUUAAAGGAUGACUUGUAAUUUUACUAUAAUUAUUCAAUUUUUUUCCCCAUAUCAGCGACUGGGUUAUCUCUUUCAUGCAAUUCUCUACAUUAGUACAUCAAAGAGGACAUUGGUAGAUGGGGCUUAGUUUUGAUGUUUAUCAAGUAAUAUAGAUCAUUAGCAGUCAUGAAUUUUAUGUUUGUAUUGUAAUGUAGGAUAAUUUAGUUUUUGGAAAUGAGGAUUAGAGAGAGCUACUCCAAAUUGGAAAAAUGAAACUUUUUUGUGAUGGAAUGAGCUGUUAUAUACUUAUAUGUUUGAUUUGAA